rnacentral:tRNA from 1 species
GUGGUGGCUCCGUGGUAGAGUGCUCGCCUAGCAUGCAUGAGGCACUGGGUUAGAUCCUCGGCAGCACA